CCUACGGGAUGCUGCAGUGAGGAAUAUUGGUCAAUGGCCGAGAGGCUGAACCAGCCAAGUCGCGUGAGGGAAGAAUGUCCUAUGUAUUGUAAACCUCUUUUGUCAGGGAGCAAAGUCACCCACGUGUGGGUGUUGGAGAGUACCUGACGAAAAAGCAUCGGCUAACUCCGUUCCAGCAGCGGCGGUAAUACGGAGGAUGCGAGCGUUAUCCGGAUGUAUUGGGGUUAAAGGGUGCGUAGGCGGGUUAUCAAGUCAGCGGUAAAAGCGUGGAGCUCAACUCCAUCCAGCCGUUGAAACUGAUGAUCUUGAGUGGGCGAGAAGUAUGCGGAAUGCGUGGUGUAGCGGUGAAAUGCAUAGAUAUCACGAAGAACUCCGAUUGCGAAGGCAGCAUACCGGCGCCCGACUGACGCUGAAGCACGAAAGCGUGGGUAUCGAACAGGAUUAGAUACCCGUGUAGUC
rnacentral:rRNA from 1 species